rnacentral:lncRNA from 1 species
CUUGCAACAUAAAUGUACAGAAUUUUGCAGGUCGGAGGGGGGAUUUGACAUCUUCCUCAGCAAAUAUGAAGACUGAUGCAUCUUGUAAUACUACUACUCAAAUAAGGUCAGAGGGGGUAACCGCUACUUCCUUCUUCAAAAAUAAAUACUCUGGAUGCAUCUUGUAAUACUACUACUGUAAUAUGGUCAGAGGAGGAGGGAUACGCCCUUUUCUCGUGUCUUUGUGUACACCACUACUUUUUGUUUUAAAGAUGUAAAAAAAAAUUAUUCAUUUUAUAAA